GCACUCCAUGCUGUGUGCUAACACCAUUAUUUGGAUUCAAGAGAGAAAAGCUUUGGUCACUGUCUGCCAUAGUGGUCUGGGCGAGGUCUCAAGACUACAAAAAUAAAUGCAAUAGUGGUUGACAGUGUCAACAAGUCAACCUUUAGACAUGAACACAGCUGUUGCCCAUCAUCACAUGUUGUACCUUUCACAAGCCAAUGGCACGUAGCUGCGUUUACGAUGUUUGGUCUUAAACUAUGAAUAAAUAUAUCAUAUUAAAGCAAAAGCAUUUCUUUAGAACCCAUGGCUGGAAUUGCCCCCACAUGUUAAACAACUACAAUAGUGGCAACACCACCAAUGGCUUCAGUGGCAGGGUCCUUUUCUACUACCAUCGACGCUCGUGGAUUUGUACCGAAGUCCUUUCCUUAUUUAAGAUUUCUGGGACUAAAUUUUGAGACUUUCUAUGGACUCCACCUCUAUCGGUGCUAGGCGUGCAAGAUAAUCACGUAUGGUGGAAUGCCACCACAUUUUUAGAGUUUUCCAUACUUGAUCUUAUCCCUUAUCAACAAGGAGUAAAAUAUUCCGCAAGAAAGCAAUUUCUUGGGCUUGGAUUGUGUGAAGGCUUAUGUUUAUUGAAUCAUCUGAUUCUCUGGUGAAUCGAGCUGGAAUAUUGAAGGUUCAUGUCUGCUAGUUUCAGACAAAUCAGAAUAGAAAAUCUUGAUGUAGCAUGAGAAGCCUUUAGACUAUAUUCAUGUUAUAGUGGUAGUAGAAUAUCGAUUUGACAUUAGCAUCGGAUAGUGAUAUCCUUGUUUUUUUAUAUGUAUAUUUAAAUUAACCAUCAGUGUCGUGCAUGUUCAAUUUAUUU